ACCUACGGGGGGCAGCAGUGGGGAAUAUUGCACAAUGGGGGAAACCCUGAUGCAGCAACGCCGCGUGAGUGAAGAAGUCAUUCGUGAUGUAAAGCUCUAUCAGCAGGGAAGAAAAUGACGGUACCUGAGUAAGAAGCCCCGGCUAACUACGUGCCAGCAGCCGCGGUAAUACGUAGGGGGCAAGCGUUAUCCGGAAUUACUGGGUGUAAAGGGAGCGUAGACGGCGAGGUAAGCCUGAAGUGGAAGCCCGCGGCCCAACCGCGG
rnacentral:rRNA from 1 species